GUGCCAGCAGCCGCGGUAAUACAGAGGGUGCAAGCGUUGUCCGGAAUGAUUGGGCGUAAAGCAUCUGUAGGUGGUUUCUAAAGUCAACUGUUAAAUCCCAGAGCUAAACUUUGGCCAAGCAGUUGAGUACUUAGAGACUUGAGUACGGUAGGGGUAGAGGGCAUUCCUUGUUUAGCGGUGAAAUGCAUAGAGAUAAGGAAGAACACCAGUGGCGAAAGCGCUCUACUGGGCCGUAACUGGCACUGAGAGAUGAAAGUUAGGGGAGCGAAAAGGAUUAGAUACCCUUGUAGUCCUAACUGUAAACGAUGGAUACUAAGUGCUGUCAAAAACAGUGCUGUAGCUAACGCGUUAAGUAUCCCGCCUGGGGAGUAUGCUCGCAAGAGUGAAACUCAAAUGAAUUGACGGGG
rnacentral:rRNA from 1 species